rnacentral:rRNA from 1 species
AGCGAACGCUGGCGGCAGGCCUAACACAUGCAAGUCGAACGAACCUUUCGGGGUUAGUGGCGGACGGGUGAGUAACACGUGGGAACGUGCCUUUAGGUUCGGAAUAACUCAGGGAAACUUGUGCUAAUACCGAAUGUGCCCUUCGGGGGAAAGAUUUAUCGCCUUUAGAGCGGCCCGCGUCUGAUUAGCUAGUUGGUUGAGGUAAUGGCUCACCAAGGCGACGAUCAGUAGCUGGUCUGAGAGGAUGAUCAGCCACAUUGGGACUGAGACACGGCCCAAACUCCUACGGGAGGCAGCAGUGGGGAAUCUUGGGCAAUGGGCGAAAGCCUGACGCAGCCAUGCCGCGUGAAUGAUGAAGGUCUUAGGAUUGUAAAAUUCUUUCACCGGGGACGAUAAUGACGGUACCCGGAGAAGAAGCCCCGGCUAACUUCGUG